ensembl:lncRNA
CACACACACACGAGUUAAGAGAAUGGUUCUCCAAAAGGCAUUGGGGUGGAAGGCCAGGUAGGCUCUGAAGCAUACACCUACACCCUUCCCUCCGUGCCGUUCCUGUCCUCAAAGAAGAAAAACUUAAACAAAUAAAUAAACAAAAAAAGCAGCCAAGCAGGGCAGCCGCACCCAGCGUCCUGGCUGCGGCAGGAACAUUCCGUCUCGGAGCUCCAGUGGGUCCCUGUUUGUGCAGGCAGAGCUGUCUGACGCCAUUGCCCGCAAGCUGGCAUUUCUGUCCUGGAGCCUCAGCGCCAUGGCCCAACCCUCCUCCGGGGGCUGGGCCUUUCAGGACUACGUCUGCAGGCAUUGUGCUGAGUAGCAGAGAGCUUGGAGAAGCCCUGACAGCAUCCUGUACACAAGGAUGCGGGAGAUUCCUCAUCUUGACUGCAGCCUGCUCUCCCUUCGACAGAGAGAAGCAAAGACCUCGUGCCACAGGGCCCAGUGGAGACAAGGUUAAUGGAUGGGUGACAGGUUGGGCAAAGGCGGGAAGAAAUAUGAAGUGGGAAUGUUCCAUGCAUCCCUUUCUCUUUGUGGCACUCG